rnacentral:misc_RNA from 1 species
CACAAUUCAACAAGCAUAUACAGUCUGAAGAUCUAAUUGUUGUACAAGAACAAUAAAUGAAGCAUUUACGUCUUCCUAGAAUAGAGACCCGUAAGCAGCAGUCUCCUACUAGUUAUCUUGGAGCAACAAUGCUCUACAACGUUUCAUGAGCUCCACCAUUUAUGGUGUCAUACUCAUUUUUUUCUUGUCAGUUGUUCUCUAAUCUCUCUCUCUCUUACCUUUUAAUGCCCACGAGAGGGGAAAGCUCAUCUUUUUUGCCAUUUGUGUCAAUAUUAGUAAGGUUAUGGUUCGUUGGUCCUUUUCUUCAUGUAGCGUGGUACUCGAUAUAGUUAGAGGACGGAACCUUUUCAACUUUUUAUCACUGAAUUAUAAAANNNNAUAAAAUUUCUGUUUUCAGUUCCCAUCAAUUGGUUAAAAUAGAUACCACUUUGAAACAAUU